CCUGUGUCUUCCCACUAGGUCCCACUUCAUAGUUUCCAUCAUCUCUAUAACAGCACAUUGAGGAUCCAUCAACAAAUGGCCCCCAUGGGCAGACAGACCAUAUCCAAUAGAUGCCUACAACCAAAGUUAAGUUCCAGUCAGUCAUUAAAAGUGAGGUACAAAGUUUUACCCACAAGAAGAUAUACUCUAUUCUGAAAGAAUUUUAAUUUCCAAGCCCAGACCUUACAGUGGGAACCACAAUCAUGCUUUUGGAAAACCUAAAUGCAGUAGAAAUAAUUGGAUUCCAGAAUGGCAGGGACAAGUAGUGGGACUCAACUGCCAAAGGCAAGAUACAGAAUCAUAAAAUGAAUGAAGCACCUGAUGGUCAAGGAAGAGAAAAGAAGAUGAAAGGAUGAAUGCGUAUUUGUUUCAUAAUCACUAACAGGUGUUAAUAAAACGUAUUGUACAAUGCUCAAUUGUCAUGACAUUGAAAGGGAUCAGGUUCACCUGUUCAUUGUGAUAUAUUAUGUAGUUUCACUUCUUAAAAUGCAACAGCUCUGUUGAAUUGUUCUUAUCAUUAACACUUGAAGUAAUA